UGUAGACGUGAUGGCCAUUUUGGAGACGAGAGUUCUGUCUGAAAUUGACUUACAUGGCAUGCCAACACAAGCAUUUUUGGACAAGCUCUAUGAAGUCUUCCGGAUGGAAUCAAAUGUGACAUUCGUUCUAACAAUAAAGAGUAUCACCGAGGUUUAAAAUGGGAAG